ACACUUACUUUACCGACUCUAGCAGUAUUCUUCAAACACUUACUUUACCGACUCUAGCAGUAUUCUUCAAACACUUACUACGCACCAAACAUGCCUUGUUUCAUGUUGAACUUUCUAAAAGUUACAACCAAAUACGUAUACGCUUCGCCAAAGAGUCCGAUGAACCAAAUGAUUAAUUAAAUUCGUUUCAUUACUUCUUUGUGUAAUGAUCGUUAAAAACUCGUGCUGACAUUCAAUUGACUGAAAGUCUCUAAUUGUUCAGGCUAUCAAAUAGAAAAUAAAUCACCUGUCUCGCAUAUACUCGUAUUACCUUUUACUCUCAAGCCUAAGGUUCAAAACACCGAAACGUCCAUCCACCUCUAUUCUAUACCUGAUUCAACGCUGGUUUUAUUAUUCCCUUUCCAUUUAUUUGUUCUGAUUUUUUUUUCUCUGAAUUUCACUGUUGUCAAAAAAUCCCGUCACACAAUGUACCUCAAACAUCAGUGUUAUGAAAAUAUGUGCUGACGUUAUGACUGUAAUAAAAAGGGCCGAAAUCAAAUGAAGCAAACUUAUGAGUAACUAUAGUUUAACACAUUUUACAGCUGGAUUUAGCACAAUGAACUAGACCCUUCAUACACUGUAUCAAAAUAAACAGUUUUUUUGGAGGUUUUUUUUUUUUUAUGGAAUGUACGUUACAACUCUCGCUACUGAACUAAAGACUGUACUUUUAUUUUUUGUUGUUAUAUCAAAAAUUGUUAUUGUAGAAACAGAAUUUACACGUUUAAAUUGAGUUAAAAAAUAACGCAUCUUUACUUUAUGAAAAUGUCUGAAACCAGCCAGCCGAAAGUGUGAAAAUAGCUGGUAUUUCAGUGGGAAUACUAUAUAAAGCUCAUUUCAAAAUGUAUAAAAUAUCCAAAGUUAUUCAUAUUCGGCAUGAAUAUUUACAUUACUAUGGAAAACAGUAAUUUUUUGAAACAAAUUAAUUAUUAGGCAUUAUUUAGGAAAAUUAUUGAAAGGUAUGAUUUUUUUUUCUUUUAAUACAAAUACGACAUUUUUCACUACACUAAACAGUUGUUUGUGGGAAGGCAGCUAGUCAACUUCACCCACCGCCAACUCGUAGGCUACCCUAUCAAAUAGCGGGAUUUGAUAGUCACUCUUAUGAAGCCCCAACGGCUCCAAAGUGCGGAGCGCGAUGCAGUUGUUGUUGUUUGGUGGUAACAAGGUGCCAAAUAAAGAUCCAUAUUCUGGCAGUCUUCUUACCGGGCCGUGCUUGGUCCCACGCUAACCAAGUUUUUGUUUUGUUUUGUUUUAGCGCAUAACCUACACAAUAGGCUAUCUGCGCUUUGUCAACCACGAGACAUAGAAUCCCGGAUUUUAGCGUUGCAAGUCGGUAAACUUAAAGUUGAUCCACUGGGGGUCACACUAAAUCAUGGAACAAUUACGUAUUUACAUUAACUAGCUACUGUGUUAGGAAGACUUUAUCAUAUACAUUUGUAUAACGCUCCAUUUCUUUGCCUAUGAAAAAUAGACGAACCAGUGAUGUAGCAGGACAUUGCUUAAGCCUAAAGGUGAAGAAAUUAAAUAAUGUCGUGAAUAUUCUGCAACAGAAAGCAAAGAUAACUCGUAAUUUCAAAGAGCUAGUAUAGCGCCGUUAAAUGAGAUGGUUUAUAUUAUUGGUCGACUGUUUAAAGACACCUCUCAUCAGAGACUAUUAACAGUGGCAAUAGAAAUAAAAUAUCUUUACUCCUAGGUGAAACUGUGGCUGCCAACUAAUGGAUUGACCCACGGGCCCCAGGCAAUUCAGAGCCUCAAGCAUCCACCCCCACCUUGUGUGUUUCUGUACAUUGCGUGAAUAAAGCAGGCGAUUAUGACAAAGCAACCAAUGUUAUCAAUCGACCCUAAUUUUGAACUUCUGACCU
rnacentral:lncRNA from 1 species